UACGUAGGGGGCUAGCGUUGUCCGGAAUCAUUGGGCGUAAAGCGCGUGUAGGCGGUCCGGUAAGUCCGCUGUGAAAGUCGGGGGCUCAACCCUCGAAUGCCGGUGGAUACUGUCGGGCUAGAGUGCGGAAGAGGCGAGUGGAAUUCCUGGUGUAGCGGUGAAAUGCGCAGAUAUCAGGAGGAGCACCAAUUGCGAAGGCAGCUCGCUGGGACGUUACUGACGCUGAGACGCGAAAGCGUGGGGAGCAAACAGG
rnacentral:rRNA from 1 species